ensembl:lncRNA
GCUCUUUAGUAAAAUAAAUUGCUUGUUAGCAGGAAGUGUGCUAUUCUGGUAGUAAAAAGAACAAAAAUGUAUUCAAAUAAAGAAGCAAAGAGUAAGAUAUGGAGGGUGAGGUACUUAGCCUAGCCAAGUAAAGCUAGUCUAUGGCUUCUUUUCCUUCUGGAUAGGUCAUGUCCUCAAGCUAGAUUAGCAGGAGCAUUUCCAUCUACAAAGGGAGAGACAAAGUCUAUGUUAUGAAGAAGGAGAAGGGAAGUGGAGCAACCUGACCCAAAACUCAACAAAAAAAGAUUGAGUGUGAGGGUUGUCUGGGACCACUUUUAAGUUUGCUAACUCACUGUUGUGCUAGAUUUAAGCAGAGAAACUACAAAGUUAACCAUAGAGGCGCUGACAGCAGUGCACAUUUCGCAUGCUAUUGCAGAAGUUGCCUAACUUUAAAUCCAAGCUGUAAGUCAUAUUGACAACUUACAGCUGUUUUCUGGGAGACAACGGUUUCCGAAUCAAGUCCACUGUGUGCGCUUUGAAAGAGGUCAACUGUAAAAGUAAAGCUUUGCAUGCAAAAGAAAAAAAAAAAAACUUCCUCAAAUACAUGCCACAGUUUUACCUUCAUGGGUUGCUUUUUGGUUGUGUUUUUGAUUCUCCAUCCAGGUAAGUACAACAGAGAAUUUUAUCAAGGUGCUGGAAGGAAAACCAUGUCGCCUUAUAGCACAUAUUACUCCACUGAAGCAGAACUUGGAUCACUCACGAGUAUAAAAGACAGUCCCAAUCCCAGGAAUAAUUUAGUCUUAUUCCAUAGCUCUACAUGCCAUUAGUGUGUACACUUCAGUAAGGAGGAUCACUCGCCACGCAACAGCGGUCUGCUUUUCCAAGCUUCCCAGCAGCACCCUGCUUUAACCUAGAUCGCCAUCUAGUGAUGGUGUGCUGUACACCACCCUCAACACACAGUCCAAGCACAUCAGAGAAAUAAGAGUGACUGUAUGGAAUUACAUGUGUUUUUUCUUUUAAGUGUAUGUCUGUGUGUGUGUGUGAUUGCAGAAAUCUGCUUUUCAUCGGACAUCGCUGUGAGCGGCUGAUUGACUGCUGGACCGAGGAUCGAUUCAUUGUCGUUGCUGGUGUCGACAGUUAAGGCAGUAAUUUCCACAGUGGUUUUCUACAAACAAAAACACGUUAGUUACAAAUUGCAUUCAACAAUCGUCUUCUUCCUCAUGUCUUGAUUUUGUAAAUGCAGUUUUAGACUUUCGUCAGAGGAAUUUUGAAUGGAGCCGAUAAAACCUGUUUUGGGUGUUGAAUCUUGUUCUUUAUUGAAGAUUUCUUUGAACUGUGGCGAAAUAAUUCUUAAUGUUCUUUGUUACUAGUGUAUCCACAAGAUGUUUAGAAUUUAAAAACUUUUUUCAGCUUGUCGUUGGCGCACUUUUGAAUAGGACAGCUUGUUUUUCAGCACCGUACCCCACCUACUUUUAGAAUUUAGGAAACCUUUAUUUUGACCUUUUUUUCAGAUGCAAUUUUGAAUGGAAAAUUCAUGGAUUAAUUAAAGUGAAUUGCCUGAAUUAAGUCAAAGCACAAAACUAUGAAAAACUGACUUAAAUUCAAAGUACCGGUUGUGUGGCGUGUACACGUCUUCCAGGAAGUAAGAAAGACUUUUUUUUCCUUUCAUGAAUUUACAUAUGUUCCUGCUCCUUUUUUUCCCUGAGUGUAUGUACAAAUGUCUUAGUUUUCCAGCUGUAGCUCCAUACGUGUGUGUGCGAGUGUGUGUGCGUGCACAGGCCAUGCACCACACCUCUCCAUAAUGAAAUCAUGCGGGUCAGUGAGGCCAGCGAGGCUCGGGCAGGUCACCCAACAGAUCGGAACUAAGCUGCUUUGACCCAGCCUGGUACUGAAUGCCAAACACACACACAAACGCACACCAUGCACGGCGCUUACAACACAAUGGAAC